GAAGCACUCAGUGCUGCUCGUGGUGAAGCCAGAGAACAACGGAAGACUUGACUUGGUGUGAUGCAACCCUUAGAAGAAUCAUCCACCCCAGUCCGUGCCAAGGAUUACUUGGGCACAUCUAUUUUCAACACCAUCUGCUGCUGCCUGCCACUUGGAGUCAUUGCAAUAAUCUACUCCUUAAGGGCGCGGGAUGCAGCUGACACUGGGGACAUGACAAAGGCUCAACAUGCUUCGCACACAGCCAAAAUCCUGAAUGCUCUUGGGAUCAUCAUUGGAUUAUCAGUGAUUACAAUCUUUAUCAUAAUGCAAAUGAAGAUUUACUUCGCUAUACAUCACUAGAACACGGCUUGGUCGGAGUAUCAGCUGGCUCUGUGAUCUUACCCUGUAUGCAGAAGCAAAUAGGAAUUUAAUUCUUAUUUGAUAAUGCAACUUGUAUCCUCAAUUAUGACAUUUCCUUCAGCUCGUAUCAUGCAAUAAAGAUCAAGUUUUAUUUGUUAUUA